CAAAAUGCCCCGAAAGAGAUGACAGUGUGCCAAGAGCCAUGACUUGAGAAGAUGGAAAAUCUUUUCUUUGAAGAGCUUCUAGUAAUGCUUCCAUGGCUUCUUCUCUGUAGAUGCUCAUCUUCCGUGGAGCAGUCUGAGAUGAAAAAGGUACGUUGAAAUCAGAACACCUUACUACAUCAGACAAUCUGCAUUACUUGACCUCGAUUUUACAUGAACGAAAGAAAACAAACCAACAGGUCAAGCUGAAGAAGAAGGGUGGCAAUGGCUGGUUUCUGCACCAUCGGUGACAUUUGCAGGUAAACCAAGAGGGUGUGCAUGGUGCUAAAUGUUCCUUCAUCCUUUAUUAUUUGCAAAAUCUGGUUGCUGAAUGUUCU
rnacentral:lncRNA from 1 species